rnacentral:lncRNA from 1 species
GGGAGGAAGUGUCAUUUUACAGCCUCUCCACCUUUAACGGCUUACUUGUUCAGGAAUAAAGAGCAACUCAGAGCCUUCAGCAAGAAACAGGAUUUUAUUAGGCUCAAAGAAUCUUAUUUGGCUUUCCUUGUAUUUCAUUUUAUGGUGACUUCCUCCUUAUGGGAAAUGAUAGUGGUUUCCCAUUUGAGGUGAGAAAACCAGGUGUCAGACGGCAGAAGUAGCCCACGCAGGGUCACACAGCAAGUCUGGGGUUUGAACCCAGCUGGGAGGCGGAGGGAGCCCGGAUCCGCCCCCUCCAACUGGAGUUGCAGCUGAGCUGCUGAGUCAUCUGAGCCCGGCCCUGCCUGCCUUCCUUCCUGCCUGCUCCCUGAGGCCCUGAAGCCACCAGGGCCAGGGAAGGAAGGGGAUUAUGUGUGUUCAAUCCAGG